rnacentral:sRNA from 1 species
GCCUGGCUGAGAUUUCUUUUUCCCCUGUGUCCUCAUACAAGGGUGGUAGUCGCUGUGCCUCUGUAAUGCUGUUGAGUGCAAGUGUAACAAAGAGGCAUGUGGGUCUCCGGCUACCCUUUCUGUGUUCAGCAUCUGAGGCCCAGUUAGUAAUCAAGGUCUGGUCGUGGCCUUGUGCCUGGCUCAGGGUCAGACUGUUCUGUGUAAGUGGCACCGGCUCCUAUAGCCAUCUCAUUGUCAGUCUUUGGGCUUCAUUCAGGGUUGGAUGUAAGAACAGCAUGAAUCAUGGGAAGGAAGGAGUGCCUCAUGAAGCCAAGAGCCGCUGCAGAUACUCCCACCAGUAUGACAACCGAGUGUAUACCUGCAAGGCCUGCUAUGAGAGAGGCGAGGAAGUCAGUGUAGUGCCCAAAACAUCUGCUUCCACUGACUCCCCCUGGAUGGGUCUCGCAAAAUAUGCCUGGUCUGGGUAUGUGAUCGAAUGUCCUAACUGUGGGGUGGUCUAUCGUAGUCGGCAGUACUGGUUUGGAAACCAAGAUCCUGUGGAUAC